GAAGCAGCUAGGGUUAGCGUUGGCUUCUCUCUCUCUCUCUCUGUCUCUCUGUCUUUCUGUCUCUUUGUCUGUCUGUCUCUCUUUGUCUCUGUUUCUCUGUCUCUCUCUGUCUGUCUCUGUCUCUUUCUGUCUCUGUCUCUCUCUGUCUCCCUGUCUCUCUCUCUCUCAUUUAUUUCUAGAGUAUUUACAAAUUGAUUUUCCUGGUCUAAACCAUGAGGGGCUGGCAUGAUAAAAUGAAGCUGUUUGCUGUUCCGUGUCGAUCUGCCUGAGAUGAUGCUCUCCUGAAUGGCACCUGAGCCUGCUGGGACCCACCUCACAGGACCGUGUGCGGCUGCAAAGCUGAGCUGUUGUCUUGCCUGUGGCCUCCGAAACGCAGCCCUGGGCCCUGUGAUCACUGCAUUUCCUCUGUGCGGCUUUGAGGGACAGAGUGUGCUGACCAACAGAAGAAAGGCAAACAGCAGAAACUGGCACCGUGGCGGCCGCUGGACAUGGCCUCAGUCGGCUGCAGAGAGAAUUUAUUUCCACAGCAACCCUCAGCAGGCGCAGACCUCGGCCCGACCCAUUUUUAGAAAGGAACAUAAGGUCCACAUUGGCUGGCAGCUUCUGGAUGCUCCAAGCUUACGGAACACACAGGAAUCCUGCUUCUACAGCCAGCACCCCCUCCGUGGCUCCUUCCUUGGCCUCACUGUAAAGCGAGCCAGCAGCAGAGCCAGGGAUCUGGAACAUCUGAGAAAUCUUGGGCACCAAGCAGCCCCCCGGCCUCCCCUCCUCUCCUGUUUCCUCCUCUCAUUCUGUGCUCGGCACUCGGGAGACACGUGGCACUGUUGGCUUCUCCCUCCUGCUGCGAUCCUGCCAGGUGCUGCUGCCUGGCCUCAUCCGUCCGGAUCGGUGCUGCCUCCUUCUCUUCCCAGGGAGAGGAACUAGAUCCGCCCAGAUUGGUGCUGCUUCCUUUUCUUCCCAGGGAGAGGAACUGGAACCCCAGUUCUGAGGCCUUGCUGCCUGUCAUUCACCCUCCGGUGCCGACACCUGCCCCCGUCGUCCUGUUGGGACUUUAAAAUUCUGGAGCCGACCUUUGGACUAAGUGUGUGCAGAGUCUCCAUGCGCAUCUUGCCCCUGAUGACUGGCCCUGCCCCUGCGGGCCUGGCUGCCCUCUGGGUUGGUGUCCAGGCAGUGGGUGUCGUACUGUCCCCCAGCUGCCACAGCCCAGACUCUUCCUGACAUCGCUGCUUGGAGCAGGGGCCUGGGCGCAACCCCUCAGUCUUGGCAGAGGGGGUGAAUCACUUCGUGUGUGUCAGGGAAGAGGUAAAGUGUUGAGAACCUGGUCCCUGGAGUGGGCAUGUCUUUGGGGAGCAGCAGGGCCUGCUUCAGAGUUUGUUUCCUAAAUAAAACAAUGGGUCUCCAGUGACUUCUCCUGCGUCCCCGAUUGUUCUCCCGGCUGUUGUGCUUUUAGGGAGCAGUGCGUCCACCCCACCGUUCCUGUGGGCCCACUGUGGGGACAGCUGCUGAACCUUCCAGGACAUACCUACACACUUCACCCUCCUCGGCGUGCUUAUCACCACUGCACCCACGCUUGUGGCUGCAGGGAAGUCCCCGGCCGACGUGAGUCCUCCUCCCACACACUGCAGCCCAUGGCUUUGGGGUCUAGAGAAG
ensembl:lincRNA